AGGACGAACGCUGGCGGCGUGCUUAACACAUGCAAGUCGAGCGGAAAGGCCCUUCGGGGGUACUCGAGCGGCGAACGGGUGAGUAACACGUGAGGUAACCUGCCCCUAGCUUCGGGAUAGCUCCGGGAACCGGAAUUAAUACCGGAUAUGACCACGCGACAUCGGCCACGGUGGAAGAUUCAUCGGCUAGGGAUGGGGCUCGCGGCCUAUCAGCUUGUUGGUGGGGUAACAGCCUACCAAGGCGACGACGGGUA
rnacentral:rRNA from 1 species